UACGAAGGGGGCUAGCGUUGUUCGGAAUUACUGGGCGUAAAGCGCGCGCAGGCGGUCCUUUAAGUCAGGGGUGAAAGCCCAGAGCUCAACUCUGGAACGGCCUUUGAAACUAGAGGACUUGGGUACGGGAGAGGUGAGUGGAAUUCCCAGUGUAGCGGUGAAAUGCGUAGAUAUUGGGAGGAACACCAGUGGCGAAGGCGGCUCACUGGACCGGUACUGACGCUGAUGCGCGAAAGCGUGGGGAGCAAACGGG
rnacentral:rRNA from 1 species